UGUGUCACAGGAGAGACCAGGUGGAGGUGA
rnacentral:piRNA from 1 species